rnacentral:rRNA from 1 species
UACAGAGGAUGCAAGCGUUAUCCGGAAUGAUUGGGCGUAAAGCGUCUGUAGGUGGCUUUUAAGUCCGCCGUCAAAUCCCAGGGCUCAACUCUGGACAGGCGGUGGAAACUACCAAGCUGGAGUACGGUAGGGCAGAGGGAAUUUCCGGUGGAGCGGUGAAAUGCGUAGAGAUCGGAAGAACACCAACGGCGAAAGCACUCUGCUGGGCCGACACUGACACUGAGAGACGAAAGCUAGGGGAGCGAAUGGG